ACGACCUUACUUGAACAGGAUCUGUUCUAUAGGAUCGUACCGCUACAUCCUUUGCCAAAAAUUGGGAUUGAUCACUUGUGU
rnacentral:snoRNA from 1 species